AGAGUUUGAUCCUGGCUCAGGAUGAACGCUAGCUACAGGCUUAACACAUGCAAGUCGAGGGGAAACGAUAGAGAAAGCUUGCUUUUUCUAGGCAUCGACCGGCGCACGGGUGAGUAACGCGUAUCCAACCUGCCCACCACUUGGGGAUAACCUUGCGAAAGUAAGACUAAUACCCAAUGACGUCUCUAGAAGACAUCUGAAAGGGAUUAAAGAUUUAUCGGUGAUGGAUGGGGAUGCGUCUGAUUAGCUUGUUGGCGGGGUAACGGCCCACCAAGGCUACGAUCAGUAGGGGUUCUGAGAGGAAGGUCCCCCACAUUGGAACUGAGACACGGUCCAAACUCCUACGGGAGGCAGCAGUGAGGAAUAUUGGUCAAUGGGCGAGAGCCUGAACCAGCCAAGUAGCGUGCAGGAUGACGGCCCUAUGGGUUGUAAACUGCUUUUAUAAGGGAAUAAAGUGAGUCUCGUGAGGCUUUUUGCAUGUACCUUAUGAAUAAGGACCGGCUAAUUCCGUGCCAGCAGCCGCGGUAAUACGGAAGGUCCGGGCGUUAUCCGGAUUUAUUGGGUUUAAAGGGAGCGUAGGCCGGAGAUUANGCGUGUUGUGAAAUGUAGAUGCUCAACAUCUGCACUGCAGCGCGAACUGGUUUCCUUGAGUACGCACAAAGUGGGCGGAAUUCGUGGUGUAGCGGUGUAAUGCUUAGAUAUCACGAAGAACUCCGAUUGCGAAGGCAGCUCACUGAGGGCCACUAACCCUGAGCUUGAAAGUUCCGGUAUUGACCAGGAAUAGAUACCCUGGUAGUCCGCCCCGUUAACGAUGGAAGCCCCCUGUUGGUUUGGAUAGGUCAACGGCCCAGCGGAAGCAUUAAGCAUUCCCACUGGGGAGUAAGCCGGCCACGGUGAAAAUCCAAGGAAUUGACGGGGGCCCGCACCAACGGAGGGACAAGUGGUUUUAAUUGAUGAUAAGCGAGGAACCUUAACCGGGGUUGGAUUGCAGAGGAAGGAUUUGGAAACCAUGAAGCCCUUUGGGGUUUUUGUGAAGGUUCUGCAUUAUUGUUGUCAGGUUGUUCCGUGAGGUGUCGGGUUAAGUUCCAAUAAGGGGGCCACCCCUUUCCUUAAUUGCCAUCAGGUCAGGCUGGGCAAUUUGGGGACCCUGCCCCCGUAAGGUGUGAGGAAAGUUGGGAAGAAGUCCAAUCAGCCCGGCCCUUAAGUUCGGGGGUAAAAAAGUGUUACCAUGGCAGGUACAGAGAGAUGGUUUUUUGCCAAGGGCAUUUUAUCCUUUAAACCUGUUUCAGUUCGGAAUGGGGUCUGCAACCCGACCCCACGAAGCUGGAUUCGCUAGUAAUCGCGCAUCAGCCAUGGCGCGGUGAAUACGUUCNCCGGGCCCUUGUACACACCGCCCGUNNC
rnacentral:rRNA from 1 species